GGAAGGAGGAAGAAGAAAAGGGAGAUGGGGAAGAGGACAGGAGGAGCAGGAGCUUUGACAGCACCUUGGAGGAGCCCCAGGCACACAGCAGUGACAAGGAGGAUGAAAAGGAAGACAGAGUUUAACCACGGGUCCUGGGUGUGCUGAGGAGAUGUGGAUACAAAGAGCAGCAUGUGCUGGAGUGGGUCUGGGACAACUUUGAGCUAA